rnacentral:rRNA from 1 species
AGCCGCGGUAAUUCCAGCUCCAAUAGCGUAUAUUAAAGUUGUUGCAGUUAAAAAGCUCGUAGUUGAAUUUCGGGAUCAAAUUGUCGGUCGUGCCUUGGUACGCACUGGCAUUACUGGUUCCUACCUUCUGAAGAACCGCCAUUGUCAUUAAUUUGGUGUCGUGGGGAAUUCAGGACUGUUACUUUGAAAAAAUUAGAGUGUUUAAAGCAGGCGCACGCUUGAAUACAUUAGCAUGGAAUAAUGAAAUAGGACGUUUGAUUCUAUUUUGUUGGGUUUCUAGGAUCGACGUAAUGAUUAAUAGGGAUAGUUGGGGGCAUUAGUAUUCAAUUGUCAGAGGUGAAAUUCUUGGAUUUAUUGAAGACUAACUACUGCGAAAGCAUUUGCCAAGGAUGUUUUCAUUAAUCAAGAACGAAAGUUAGGGGAUCGAAGACGAUCAGAUACCGUCGUAGUCUUAACCAUAAACUAUGCCGACUAGGGAUCGGACGAUGUUAAUUUUUAAUGACUCGUUCGGCGCCUUACG